GGGUCGGUGGCGUAGUUGGUUAUCGCAUCUGUCUAACAUUCCGAUCACAGAAGGUCCUCAGUUCGAACCUGGGCCGACUCA
rnacentral:tRNA from 1 species